rnacentral:rRNA from 1 species
UUGUGAACUGCAGGACACAUGAACAUCGACAUUUCGAACGCACMUUGCGGUCCACGGAUACAAUUCCCGGACCACGCCUGGCUGAGGGUCG